GGUCAGGAUGAACGCUAGCGACAGGCUUAACACAUGCAAGUCGAGGGCAGCAUAAAAGUAGCAAUACUUGGUGGCGACCGGCGCGACGGGUGAGUAACGCGUAUGCAACCUACCUAUCGAGAGGGGAAUAACCCGGCGAAAGUCGGACUAAUACCGCAUAAAACAGGGGCACCGCAUGGUGAUAUUUGUUAAAGAAAUUCGCUGAUAGAUGGGCAUGCGUUCCAUUAGGUAGUUGGUGAGGUAACGGCUCACCAAGCCGACGAUGGAUAGGGGAACUGAGAGGUUGGUCCCCCACACUGGUACUGAGACACGGACCAGACUCCUACGGGAGGCAGCAGUGAGGAAUAUUGGUCAAUGGGCGGGAGCCUGAACCAGCCAAGUCGCGUGAAGGAAGAAGGAUCUAUGGUUCGUAAACUUCUUUUGCAGGGGAAUAAAGUGCAGGACGUGUCCUGUUUUGUAUGUACCCUGAGAAUAAGGAUCGGCUAACUCCGUGCCAGCCGCGGC
rnacentral:rRNA from 1 species